rnacentral:rRNA from 1 species
AGUGAACGCCGGCGGUAGGCCUAACACAUGCAAGUCGAACGGCAGCACAGUAAGAGCUUGCUCUUACGGGUGGCGAGUGGCGGACGGGUGAGGAAUACAUCGGAAUCUACUUUUUCGUGGGGGAUAACGUAGGGAAACUUACGCUAAUACCGCAUACGACCUACGGGUGAAAGCAGGGGAUCUUCGGACCUUGCGCGAUUGAAUGAGCCGAUGUCGGAUUAGCUAGUUGGCGGGGUAAAGGCCCACCAAGGCGACGAUCCGUAGCUGGUCUGAGAGGCUGAUCGGCCACACUGGAACUGAGACACGGUCCAGACUCCUACGGGAGGCAGCAGUGGGGAAUAUUGGACAAUGGGCGCAAGCCUGAUCCAGCCAUACCGCGUGGGUGAAGAAGGCCUUCGGGUUGUAAAGCCCUUUUGUUGGGAAAGAAAAGCAGCAGGUUAAUACCCCGCUGUUCUGACGGUACCCAAAGAAUAAGCACCGGCUAACUUCGUG